UACGGGGGGAGCAAGCGUUGUUCGGAUUUACUGGGCGUAAAGGGCGCGUAGGCGGUCAGCACAAGUCAGUUGUGAAAUCUCCGGGCUUAACUCGGAAAGGUCAACUGAUACUGUGCGACUAGAGUGCAGAAGGGGCAACUGGAAUUCUCGGUGUAGCGGUGAAAUGCGCAGAUAUCAGGAGGAACACCAGUGGCGAAGGCGGUGGUCUGGGGCCGAUACUGACGCUGUAGAGCGAAAGCGUGGGGGAGCGAACAGGG
rnacentral:rRNA from 1 species